GCUUACAGCCACACCGCCUGGUUCACGCCCGAUCUCGUUUGAUCUCGGAAGCUAAGAUAGGUUGUGCCUGUUUAGUACUUGGAUGGGAGACCGCCUGGGAAUACCAGGUGCUGUGCUUU
rnacentral:rRNA from 1 species